UUAUGCCUAAACUGUUUUAAUUGGCUCAUGCAUGAGGAGACUAAAUAAGAUGACACAUGUUUCAGCAUAUACAUUUUCUAAACAAGUAGGAGAGCAAGAGGCGGUAAAAUAAGGUGUUAUUCAAUUCAUUGACUGUAUUAACAACUUGGCUCUGUUUGUUGAUGUUUGUUCCUGCUACAAAACAUAUAGUUUUGUCAGAUUAAAAAAAAAACAAAACCUUGGGUAUAAUUUUAUUUACACCUACACAUACAUUUCUAAGAGAUGAACGACCAUUUCUGGGAAUACUUACAAGUAAAGAAUCUGAGUUGUUUUUGUGGCAUGACUACAAGUGAACAAGUGACUUCUUUUCUUUGAACCUCACUUUCAAUACCUAUCGAAGCCAAGGGUCACACAGAAAGAUCUGUAAGGCCCCUUCCUGCUCUAACGUCCUAUUAAUCCAUGAUUUUUCCAACUUUUAUUUCCUACUUUGGCAGAGGUGAAGUAAUUUGUGAUCAAUUGAGGACAGAAGAAGAAGAAAUAAGAUAAUUUUUUACCCUGAUGCGAGAGAACUAAAGUGGAGGCACUAUUAUCGGGAUAAAUAAAAACACAGACCAGAUCUCUGAGUUUUUGAGAUUGACACCAUUGAAGUACCCUUAUUUCCCAUGUAAUCACUCUCAAAAAUAAACUAUAGGCUAGGAUGGAUGGCCUGACAAUUUCUCUUCAGGUGGAUUAUACUAUUUCAGUGCCUAAAGGCAUUAUUAUUUUAUAUAUUAGAUACUCAAUGAAUGCUCUGUUGAUUUUAUUGGGUUUUGCUCUGUUGGCUACUUAUUUUCCAGUCCUUUCUGUUAGGUAUUAAAAACAGUGUAGACUGGCUGAUGACUUCAGCUGAGCUUAAUACAGUCUGUUCAGUCUGUUCUGUUCUUUACUUUAAACUAGGUAAAGUUCGUAGAUUCAGAAAAUUAACCCUUUUAGUUUACCCAGAGAUCAUGACUUAUUAACCAAACUUAAAAUAACUAGAUAACUGUGUCUUUUUCUGAUGCAUUACUUUUCGUAUGUAUGUUCUGCAGGCAAAGGUUUGGGAAUGAUUUUCUCCAAAAGCCUAGGGGAAUAAAGGAAACGUCUUCAGCAGAAGCAGAAAGGUUUAGAAACUUGGCAAGGAGUAACUCAGGAUCAGAAUAUUGGCAGAGCCUCCUUUUAAUGCCAUGCAUGGAAGAAAUGACAAUUUAAAUAGAUUUUCCUCAAGCUUGUGGGGAUUUGGCAACUCCUUGUUCAAUCUGUGAUGAGAUCUUGCAAGCUUUAGGGCCCUGCCUAGAUUUGUUGAGAAUUUCUCUGUCUGUCUGUCAGUCUCUCUUUCUUUCAUCUGUUAUGUAUUUUUAUGGUGACCAUUUUAGCAAUUGUACCUGGUAUCCUUAAUAUUAAACUAUAUAGCCUCAGUUUUGUGUGAAGAGGGUUUAAAGAAUUUAUUAGAUGUGUUUGCAAAUAUCAAUUGGACAUGUGAGUGUUAACUUGAUCUUGAAAAUAAAUAUUGGUCCACUCCCAGUGCCUACAAAAAAAACAAAAAAACAAAAAAAAAAAAAAAA
rnacentral:lncRNA from 1 species